UGGCGUCCAUUCUCUUUAUUUCUUUCCUCUUUCCUCCUCCCUCCUCCCUCCUCCUUCGACGAAGAACAUUGAGAAGGGUUUUGGGUGUAAGAGUUACAAACUUUUCCAGAAAAUCUAAUUCUACAGUCACUCGCUCUUAGGUAAAUUCAUUAGUUGUCUUUUUUUGUUUUUAUCAAAUUAAGAUUGCAUUUUUCAUUUUGUCAUAUUGGGGUUCAGUUGAACCCACUGCUAAAAUAUAGUACCAAGUAUAAGCUUAUUAUAGAUGAUGUAAUUGAAUUUAAUGAUUUUGUUACAAUGGCGAUUCAAUUAGUCAAAUUCAUGUUGAAACCCUCAAAUUUAGUUGUUUUAUUUGGUUCAAAAUCAACAAGAAUAAGAACAAUUUCAUCAGCACAAUUUGUUGCAUCGAGGGCAAGAGACCCUACAUUUGAGAAGUAUAUGGACAAUUACAAGAAGCUUGUUAAAGUAGUUGCUAUUCAAGACCUUAUCUUAGCAAACCCCCAUAAAAACCCACCUUCUGUAUCGGUUGAUUUCUUGUCCAGGCUCUCCCAGAGGCUCCACCUUAACCGGGGUGCCCCUUCGUUCCUCCGUCGACACCCUCACGUUUUCGAGGUUUUUUAUGAUCCUCAAAAGUCCAUGCCCUAUUGUAAAUUAACUGAUAAAGUGAUUGAGAUUUCCCAAUUGGAGGCUGCUGCUAUUAACGAGUCUUUGCCGUUGGUUGUGGAACGCUUGGUUCGGAUUCUUUCGAUGUCGUUGUCUAGAUCAUUGCCGUUAAGGGCGGUUUUUAAGGUGUGGAGGGAGUUGGGUCUUCCUGAUGAUUUUGAGGAAUCUGUGAUUGCGCGGAAUCCUCAGUUGUUCUUGCUUUGUGAUGGGAAUGAACCGAACACCCAUGUUUUGAAACUUGUUCCUACUUACCCUACUGGUCAUUUCACUGCUGCGGUGGAAGAUUGGCGAGUUUUGGAGUGUUGUCAGGAGGAUUCAAAGGUUGAUAGGACGGAGAUGCGGUACAGUUUUAAGCAAGGGUUUCCACCAGGAAUGAAGUUGAAAAAGACUUUUAGGACAAAGGUUAAGGAAUGGCAGAAAAUGCCAUAUACUGGGCCAUAUGAGUUGGCAGGAGAGAAGAAGAGAGCAAAAAGUGGUAUAAAGGGAUCGGAGAAACGAGCCGUUGCCAUUGUUCAUGAAUUCAUAAAUUUGACUGUUGAGAAGAUGGUGGAGGUGGAGAAGAUCAGCCAUUUCAGGAAGUGGUUUGGGAUUGAUUUGAAUAUCAGGGAUCUAUUUCUGGACCACCCUGGGAUAUUUUACUUAUCCAACAAAGGGAAGAUGCAUACAGUUUUCCUAAGGGAAGCUUUUGAAAGAGGGCGCUUGAUAAACCCAAAUCCUGUUUACGAGGCCAGGAUGAAGCUUCUUUAUUUAAUAACGCUGGAACGUCGUGGAAUGUUAACUACAUCUGAAAAGUCAGUCAAAGAGGUAGAAGAUAUGCAAGCCAAAGAAAACAGACAGAUUUCUGCCUCUUCAGUUUUCGACAAUACUGACAGAGAUUAAUGAUGAUGGAUCAAUAAUGAAAACUGAAGGUUGGCAAUGGUACCUAUUUAGUUCAAUGCUAUUGCUCCUAGUGAGAAUUCUGAUCUUUUGGAGCUUCAAUAUUCUGGACCCUUUGAUGAGUGUGGCCCCACGAUCCAGAAGUAUAUAGCUGCAGAAAGUGGAUACUACCUUAUCACACCUCUUGUGCCUAUUUCUGGAAAUCUUGAUAGAAACAUCAAGAUAAGCUGAUGUAACUCGCGUCUCAUAAAUUAAAGAUGGAAUUCUAAUUGGUCUAUGGUUGCUGACAUCGACCCAUAAGACUGAAAUUCAACGAUCCUGAGGAUGAGGAAUAUGGUGAGUGACACUAUUCAGAAUUUGGAUUCUGAUUAUGAAAGACUGCUCAAGUGCUGAGACUGUGACGAUUGAGUUCAGAAGUGAAUAUUUGCUAUUAACACUCUGAAAUUUGCACAUUCUUGAAACUUUGGUCAGCCUCCGUUUGGCGGUUACUAUAUAUCUUAAGACUUGUUAGUACUCUUUGAAAAUGUUUUUUGUGCUCUUGGUUAGAUGUCAGAGCAUAAACAUUUUUUGAAUGUUUACUGAAAUUCGAUUUUGUUAAGAGUAUAAUGUAUAUGUAUACAGUUAUACACACUGGCUUCCUGAAUAUAAUCCACGGAACACGCACUCGGGUGUUUCUUGCUUGUUGGUGCUCA